rnacentral:rRNA from 1 species
UGACCUACGGGGGGCAGCAGUCGGGAAUAUUGCACAAUGGAGGAAACUCUGAUGCAGUGGCACCGCGUAUAGGAAGAAGGUUUUCGGAUUGUAAACUAUUUUAGACAGGGAAGAAAAAAGACAGUACCUGUAGAAUAAGCUCCGGCUAACUACGUGCCAGCAGCCGCGGUAAUACAUAGGGGGCAAGCGUUAUCCGGAAUUAUUGGGUGUAAAGGGUGCGUAGACGGAAGAACAAGUUGGUUGUGAAAUCCCUCGGCUCAACUGAGGAACUGCAACCAAAACUAUUCUCCUUGAGUGUCG